rnacentral:rRNA from 1 species
GAUGCGACCUCAGCUCAGGCG